rnacentral:misc_RNA from 1 species
GUAAAAGUCGUAACAAGGUUUCCGUAGGUGAACCUGCGGAAGGAUCAUUAAAAAAAUUGGACUCCAUUGGUGAGUUCAUUAAUAAUCCCUACCUUUGUGAAUUUGUUUGUUUGAAUAAUUUUUUUUCCAAAAAAAAAUUAUUGAAUGUCUUUCCCUGUUUUGGUGGAGCUUGUAAAGUGAAACCAGGCAGGGGAAUGGCAAACAAUAAUUAUUUUUUGAAAAAAGACCUUUUUUAAAAUUAAACUCUUUGUAUUCAUUUGUCUAAAAUUAUUUUUAUAAUAUAAAAACAACUUUUGACAAUGGAUCUCUUGGUUCUCGCAACAAUGAAGAACGCAGCAAAAUGCGAUAAGUAGUGUGAAUUGCAGAAUACGUGAAUCAUCGAAUCUUCGAACGCAUAUUGCACUUUUUUAGUUUACUAAAAAAGUAUGUCUGUUUGAGUAUCAGUAAAAUAUUCUCAUAAAAAACAUUGUUUUUUUAUGGUUAUGAGUGUUUUACAACGAUAACAAGUUGUUUCACUUUAAAUUCUUUGUUAUCAAAAAAAAUCAUUAAAAGCUAAUCUUAAAGAUUUUCUAAAAUUGGAUAAAAUUUUCCCGUAAAAAGGAAUAACCUAAACAAUUUUAAAAAUUAAAAUUGGUUUGAUUUUUUUUGAAACCCAAAGGAAAAAAAACGAAAUUAACUUGAUCUCAAAUCAGAUAAGAGUACCCGCUGAACUUAAGCAUAUCAAUAAGCGGAGGAAAAGAAACUAACUAGGAUUCCCUCAGUAACGGCGAGUGAAGCGGGAAGAGCUCAAAUUUGAAAUCUUCAAGGUUUUACCUUGACGAAUUGUAGUUUAAAGAAGUGUUUUCUGUUGGAGUUUUGGUAAAAGUUCUUUGGAAAAGGACAUCAUAGAGGGUGAGAAUCCCGUAUUUGACCAUUAUCUCCAGCUUUGUGAUACACUUUCAAAGAGUCGGAUUGUUUGGGAAUGCAGUCCAAAAUGGGUGGUAAAUUUCAUCUAAAGCUAAAUACUGGCGAGAGACCGAUAGCGAACAAGUACCGUGAGGGAAAGAUGAAAAGAACUUUGAAAAGAGAGUUAAACAGUACGUGAAAUUGUCAAAAGGGAAGCGUUUGACACCAGUGUUGUUUUCUCGAAAAUCAAUUAAAAAAGGCCGGAUUUUGUGUUGUAUUGACUUUAUCAGCUUUCUGCACUUUUUUCUUGUCUUUUUUAAUGCACUUUUCGUUUAACAAGUCAACAUCAAUUUCUUUUGUUGUAAAAGGGUCAUUGGAAGGUGGCUUUCUUUUCGGAGAAAGUGUUUAUAGCCUUUGGCCUCUGCAAUCGGAGAGAUUGAGGCCUGCAGCGUAGAUCCUUCGGGGUUAGAUACAUUUGUGCUAAGUUAUAGCCUUUCAUAGACAACUUGUUGACUAUGAUCAGUCAUGUAGCUUACUCGCUUAUACUAUUUUACCUACGCUUAGGAUGUUGAA